rnacentral:piRNA from 1 species
UGCUGCUGGAGGUGUAAUGGACGUCAA